rnacentral:rRNA from 1 species
GAGAGAUUACGAAAGGGCGUAUGGGGGAUGCCUAGGCUCUUAACGAAGACGAAGGACGUGAUAAGCUGCGAAAAGCUGCGGGGAUUAGCACAUAUGAGUCGAUCCGCAGAUAUCCGAAUGGGGCAACCUAUCAUGUUAUGCAUGAUAUCCGCGAGGAGUAUUACCUGCUGAACUGAAACAUCUAAGUAGGCAGAGGAAGAGAAAACAAUAGUGAUUUUGUUAGUAGCGGCGAGCGAACGCGAAACAGCCCAAACCGAUAUUGUUACGGCAGUAUCGGGGUUGUAGGACUACGAUAUUUUAUAUAUAAGAGAACUAGAAUAAGUUGGAAAGCUUAACAAAAUAGUGUGAUAGUCACGUAUAGGUAAUUUUAUAUAUAGAUAGUAGUAUCCUGAGUAGUGCGGGGCACGAGAAACCUUGCAUGAAUCCACCGGGACCAUCCGGUAAGGCUAAAUACAGUUAAGAGACCGAUAGUGAACCAGUACNNNNNNNNNNCUUACAAGCGGUCGGAGCCGCGCCUUUGGCGUGGUGACGGCGUGCCUUUUGCAUAAUGAGCCUACGAGUUAUUGGUAUUGGCGAGGAUAACCUGCAAGAGCGGGGGAUUCGUAGCGAAAGCGAGUUUUAAUAGGGCGUUAGUCAUUAUCAAUAGACGCGAACCCGGGUGAUCUAUCCUUGGGCAGGUUGAAGCUGUGGUAACACAUAGUGGAGGACCGCACCCAUUAACGUUGAAAAGUUUUGGGAUGACCUGAGGAUGGGGGUGAAAGGCCAAUCAAACUCGGCGGAAAUAGCUCGUACUCUCCGAAAUGCAUUUAGGUGCAGCGAUUUACUAGUUUUAUAGAGGUAGAGCUACUGAUUGGAUGCGGGGGCUUCACCGCCUACCAAUUCCUGACAAACUCCGAAUGCUAUAAAAUGGUGUAGAUCAGUGAGGGCAUGGGUGCUAAGGUCCAUGUCCGAGAGGGAAACAACCCAGACCAUCAGCUAAGGUCCCAAAAUAUAUGCUAAGUUGACCAAACGCGGUUCGACU